CCUGAUAUGGAUACAAACAAUUGUCUUAUAUGAUAUAUUAUUUUAUUUUUACUAUUUUUUUUGUGCCUAACGUAGGUACACACCCAAGGACAGACCCAUGUAUGGGCCAAGGGGGGCAGGGGGCAUUGCGCGCCCCUCCCCUUUGAGAUUUUGAAUUUUUUAUUGGCUUUGAGAUUUUGAAUUUUUUAUUGGUAUAGUGAUAUUUCUCAAAAAGAAAAAAAAAAUCCUAUUACUAUCUAUUAGAUUUUGAUGGUGCACUGGAUGGACCUCCUAGUAUUUUAAAAGUUUUUAGAAAUUUAUUAAUAAUUUUGUAAAAAAAAUUCUUUAUUGUCCUAUUAAAAGAAAGAUACCAACAGUGAAACACAA
rnacentral:misc_RNA from 1 species